GCUGGGUGUGGUGGUGGGCACCUGUAAUCCCAGCUACUCGGGAGGCAGAGGCAGGAGAAUUGCUUGAAUCCAGGAGGCAGAGGUUGCAGUGAGCUGAGAUCACUCUACUGCACUCCAUCCUGGGUGACAGAGCAAGACUCUGUCUCUA
rfam:Homo sapiens chromosome 21, GRCh38 reference primary assembly.